AACGAACGCUGGCGGCAGGCUUAACACAUGCAAGUCAAACGCCCCGCAAGGGGAGUGGCAGACGGGUGAGUAACGCGUGGGAAUCUACCCAGUUCUACGGAAUAACCCAGGGAAACUUGGACUAAUACCGUAUACGCCCUACGGGGGAAAGAUUUAUCGGAAUUGGAUGAGCCCGCGUUGGAUUAGCUAGUUGGUGGGGUAAUGGCCGACCAAGGCGACGAUCCAUAGCUGGUCUGCGAGGAUGAUCAGCCACACUGGGACUGAGACACGGCCCAGACUCCUACGGGAGGCAGCAGUGGGGAAUAUUGGACAAUGGGCGCAAGCCUGAUCCAGCCAUGCCGCGUGAGUGAUGAAGGCCUUAGGGUUGUAAAGCUCUUUCAGUGGGGACGAUAAUGACGGUACCCACAGAAGAAGCCCCGGCUAACUUCGUGCCAGCCGCCGCCGUAACAC
rnacentral:rRNA from 1 species